rnacentral:rRNA from 1 species
GAUAAACGCUGGCGGCGUGCCUAAUGCAUGCAAGUCGAACGGGGGAUGUGGUUUCGGCCGCAUCUCCAGUGGCGGAUGGGUGAGUAACGCGUAAGUGACCCACCCCUGAGUGGGGGAUAACCCCGAGAAAUCGGGGCUAAUACCGCAUAAAGUGGGAGACCACCAAAGCCUUAGGGUGCUUGGGGAAGGGCUUGCGUCCGAUUAGCUAGUUGGCAGGGUAAGGGCCUACCAAGGCGAAGAUCGGUAGCUGGUCUGAGAGGAUGACCAGCCACACUGGGACUGAGACACGGCCCAGACUCCUACGGGAGGCAGCAGCAGGGGAUAUUGCGCAAUGGGCGAAAGCCUGACGCAGCAACGCCGCGUGAGGGAAGAAGGCCUUCGGGUUGUAAACCUCUUUUCUCGGGGAAGAAGAACUGACGGUACCCGAGGAAUAAGUCUCGGCUAACUACGUG